UUCCAGAGGAAGGCUCGUCCGCUCUGGGUUAGUCGGGUCCUAAGCUGAGGCCGACAGGCGUAGGCGAUGGAUAACAGGUUGAUAUUCCUGUACCACCUAUAAUCGUUUUAAUCGAUGGGGGGACGCAGUAGGAUAGGCGAAGCGUGCGAUUGGAUUGCACGUCUAAGCAGUAAGGCUGAGUAUUAGGCAAAUCCGGUACUCGUUAAGGCUGAGCUGUGAUGGGGAGAAGACAUUGUGUCUUCGAGUCGUUGAUUUCACACUGCCGAGAAAAGCCUCUAGAUAGAAAAUAGGUGCCCGUACCGCAAACCGACACAGGUAGUCAAGAUGAGAAUUCUAAGGUGAGCGAGCGAACUCUCGUUAAGGAACUCGGCAAAAUGACCCCGUAACACGCCCAGAAGAGCCGCAGUGAAUAGGCCCAAGCGACUGUUUAUCAAAAACACAGGUCUCUGCUAAACCGUAAGGUGAUGUAUAGGGGCUGACGCCUGCCCGGUGCUGGAAGGUUAAGAGGAGUGGUUAGCUUCUGCGAAGCUACGAAUCGAAGCCCCAGUAAACGGCGGCCGUAACUAUAACGGUCCUAAGGUAGCGAAAUUCCUUGUCGGGUAAGUUCCGACCCGCACGAAAGGCGUAACGAUUUGGUCAUAGUACCUGUGAAGAUGCAGGUUACCCGCGACAGGACGGAAAGACCCCGUGGAGCUUUACUGUAGCCUGAUAUUGAAAUUCGGCACAGCUUGUACAGGAUAGGUAGGAGCCUUUGAAACGUGAGCGCUAGCUUACGUGGAGGCGCUGGUGGGAUACUACCCUAGCUGUGUUGGCUUUCUAACCCGCACCACUUAUCGUGGUGGGAGACAGUGUCAGGCGGGCAGUUUGACUGGGGCGGUCGCCUCCUAAAAGGUAACGGAGGCGCUCAAAGGUUCCCUCAGAAUGGUUGGAAAUCAUUCAUAGAGUGUAAAGGCAUAAGGGAGCUUGACUGCGAGACCUACAAGUCGAGCAGGGUCGAAAGACGGACUUAGUGAUCCGGUGGUUCCGCAUGGAAGGGCCAUCGCUCAACGGAUAAAAGCUACCCCGGGGAUAACAGGCUUAUCUCCCCCAAGAGUUCACAUCGACGGGGAGGUUUGGCACCUCGAUGUCGGCUCAUCGCAUCCUGGGGCUGUAGUCGGUCCCAAGGGUUGGGCUGUUCGCCCAUUAAAGCGGUACGCGAGCUGGGUUCAGAACGUCGUGAGACAGUUCGGUCCCUAUCCGUCGUGGGCGUAGGAAAUUUGAGAGGAGCUGUCCUUAGUACGAGAGGACCGGGAUGGACAUACCUCUGGUGUACCAGUUGUCGUGCCAACGGCAUAGCUGGGUAGCUAUGU
rnacentral:rRNA from 1 species